rnacentral:rRNA from 1 species
CCCUUAGAUGUCCUGGGCCGCACGCGUGCUACACUGACACUUACACCGAGUUUUUCCAAUGCCGAAAGGCCAUUGGUAAUCAGCAAUAAGUGUCGUGAUGGGGAUAGAUCUUUGGAAUUAUUGAUCUUGAACGAGGAAUGCCUAGUAAUCGUAGGUCAUCAGCCUGCGAUGAUUACGUCCCUGCCCUUUGUACACACCGCCCGUCGCUCCUACCGAUUGAAUGGUCCGGUGAAAAUUUCGGAUACCGGCAUUGCUGGCGGUUCGCCGCCGGCGACGCUGGUAGAAGAUCUUUAAACCUUAUCAUUUAGAGGAAGGAGAAGUCGUAACA